rnacentral:rRNA from 1 species
CGCAGAUCGGUGUGUACAAGCCCGGGAACGAGCGCAACCCGUGCCGUCACUUUAAACAGGUAAAGCUGGGAACUCUGGCGGGACUGCCCGUGUCAAGCGGGAGGAAGGCGCGGAUGACGUCAAGUCAGUAUGGCUCUUACGCCCAGGGCUGCACACGUGCUACAAUGGCCGGUACAGUGGGAAGCGACACCGCGAGGUGGAGCAAAUCCCCUAAAACCAGCCCCAGUUCAGAUCGUCGUCUGCAACUCGACGGCG